GGAUGAACGCUGGCGGCGUGCUUAACACAUGCAAGUCGAACGGUGAAGGGGAGCUUGCUUCCUGGAUCAGUGGCGAACGGGUGAGUAACACGUGAGCAAUCUGCCCCAGACUCUGGGAUAACAGUUGGAAACAGCUGCUAAUACCGGAUAUGAGACGUGAAGGCAUCUUCAACGUCUGGAAAGAGUUUCGGUCUGGGAUGAGCUCGCGGCCUAUCAGCUUGUUGGUGAGGUAACGGCUCACCAAGGCGUCGACGGGUAGCCGGCCUGAGAGGGUGACCGGCCACACUGGGACUGAGACACGGCCCAGACUCCUACGGGAGGCAGCAGUGGGGAAUAUUGCACAAUGGGCGCAAGCCUGAUGCAGCAACGCCGCGUGAGGGACGACGGCCUUCGGGUUGUAAACCUCUUUUAGCAGGGAAGAAGCGAAAGUGACGGUACCUGCAGAAAAAGCACCGGCUAACUACGU
rnacentral:rRNA from 1 species